GUCGAGAAUAAUUCACAAUGGACGAAAGUCUGAUGGUGCAACGCCGCGUGGAGGAUGAAGGUCUUCGGAUUGUAAACUCCUGUCAUCGGGGAGUAAGACCUGGCGGUAAAUAGCCGACAGGGUUGAUAGUACCCGAAGAGGAAGGGACGGCUAACUUCGUGCCAGCAGCCGCGGUAAUACGAAGGUCCCAAGCGUUGUUCGGAAUCACUGGGCGUAAAGGGAGCGUAGGCGGCGUGGUAAGUCAGAUGUGAAAUCCCGGGGCUCAACCCCGGAACGGCAUCCGAUACUGCCAUGCUUGAGGGUUGGAGAGGUAGCUGGAAUUCUCGGUGUAGCAGUGAAAUGCGUGGAUAUCGAGAGGAACACUCGUGGCGAAGGCGAGCUACUGGACAACAUCUGACGCUGAGGCUCGAAGGCCAGGGGAGCAAAAGGGAUUAGAAACCCGGGUAGUCC
rnacentral:rRNA from 1 species